rnacentral:lncRNA from 1 species
AACAUUAGGAGUUAGAAGAGUCACUUUUGCUGAACGUGAAAAAAAAGAAAGAAAAGAGGAGCAUAGGAGAAGAAACCCUAGUUGCGACGGGAUCAAGUCAAGCUGGAAAUUUUAGAAGAAAUCAAGGUAAGGGGGAGAAUCUCUUCAUCUCUAGGGUUUAAUAUUUUGAUUAAGGGUUGUAAAGGGGUUAGAGUAUGAGUGUUGUUAUGAUGGUGAUGACGACGUUGUUGACGUUAAUUAAUUCUUAAGUUAUGAUUGCUGUUAUGAGGAAGAGUUCCACUGAAAAAUUAUGAUGAAUGAAUGUAGAAUUGUUGUUGAAAGAGUAAUAUUAAGGGAACCUAGUUUAGAGAUUAGAGUUGACCCUGAAAUAGUGUAAAAUUGGAUACUUUGAGAAGGAAUUAACACUCAAAUAGUAGGGUAAACCUAGAGUGAUGAUUAGGGACAAUUUGGGUGUGUAGGGAUUGAGUUAAGUGAUUCAAAAGUGAUUAAUUGGGGAAAAACGACUGUCUGAGUGUUUUGAUUCGACAAAAAUCGGGCCCCAAUUUUGUAACUUCGGCCCCCGAUUUUGUCAGC